GCCACAAGGUGGCGCUUCCUUUCUAUGUUAUUUAUGGGAGACGCCAAUGUCUUCUGCUCUGACCAUUGACUGUGGCUCUGACCGAGAGAGGACUGUAGUUGGUCACAAGUUGGAGGAGUUUAUACCUAGUAUGUUCUUUUCCUCAUGUAGGACUAGUAAAUAUAGUGCCGUGGAGACCUGGCAUGGUAUGGUCGAUGUUAAGUUCUGUAUGAUAGACUGCCGUGUGGAAAUCCCUCACCUGUUGUGAUGCUAACCUGCGACCCGGGGGCUAACCGCUAACAGUUGUAGAUGGUUAGCAGAAACAAACCUCCUUGAGAAGAAAUGGAUAAAGAAACGAAUUUUGGAUAACAAGUUCAGCUUCAGAGCCCUGUGAAAUGGCUGUACGAGACAAAAGUUAUUGGUGUUUACUGUGGAUAUAAACGGAGAGUCCACCUGUGUACAUGGCUAACACCACCUGCUAGCCGAGCUCACAGCUGACUCAAUAGUGCCCCUCCAUCUCGCCAAAGCUGUCCAGGAGUCUCUGGUGGAAACUAUCCUGCGUGGCUUUAACUUCCCCAUGUGAGGAAAUCCAAGCUGGUGUCUCAUCUCAAUAUUCAGCAGGGUCAGACUGCCAAAAGAAAGACGAACACACAAUGUGCCAUCUGGAAAAUCACAGGCGUCUCAUCAGAUCUGUCCAAUCUGGAGUCUCUCAAAGAAUAUCAUCAAUACACGUCUUUGACCGGAGGCUCCCCACUGUUCUGGAUCCCUCAGUACCUGGAUUGGGAGACCAUAAUUGAACCCCAGUGACUGAGCAGGAGGGGGUCUCCUCGGUUCAGCUGCAGCCAUGAGGUGGAAGAAGUGUGAGCACAGCCGAUGAAGCUGAUUUACAUUUAGAGCUGAGUAACUUCAGCUACCUGGGACUGUGGAUGAGGGGGAAGGAUACGCUUAAAGUCUGGCAGGAGAGACAGAGGUCCUGUGAGCGCUCAGCAGGAAUACGAGAUGUCUGACAUGUGCAGUGCCGAGAAACAUAUCCCUCCAAAGGAUGAAGUUUAUAUUUGCUCACGUCUGAACAUGACAGAUACCAUAAAAGAGAAGUGAUGCUAUUAGAAGACUGAGACCUCAAGAUGUGACUUGCUGCCUCUAGAAUCAGCACAUCAGUGGCUGGGGUGCCAAGUCAAAGGAGAAAGGCAAAACUUGUCCCACUUAAUAGGCCACAAAUAAAUGACAGCUCAGUACAACAGCAGUGCGCAGAAGGACACAUCAGAAAGCACACAUCAUUUAACCUUGAAUUGGAUGGGCCACAGCAGCAACGGACUAUGCCACUUUCCACUCCAGUCGGCAAGGAACAAGAAAAUGAGGCUAUGUGUGCCAUCAACAGAACUGUAGGACUGAGAGGUGGAAAAAAUGAAGCUCAAUCUGACAUGCUGGUGUCAGGGUCAGCGUGUGGCCUUCAUGAUGUACAUGUUUUUAUUCAAAUGGAGACAUGCAACAAGAAAUGUGCCAUGCCACUUGGCACACAUUGCUUCAAGAUUUUUUGCAGCAUGACAGUGACCCCAGUUUUCCUUCCACAGCUCCUGCACCCCUCAUAUCUCAAGCAAACAGAGCCUCUUUGGAAUGUGUUGAUAGCACAGUGAAUGCAUCACUAUGGAGUCAGCAUGGACAAACCCUCCCUGGGGAAUGUUUACAGCACCUUGUUGAAUCCAUGCAUCUGCUAAAUGGCAAAAGGAGCUCAUUAAAUACAUUAUGUAGGCUAAACAAUUAUUUCGGAGACCCAAACCACAGCUUUCAAUCCCAACCUGGAAGACUUUGAGUCAAGAAUAAAAGCAAUUUCCUGCAAAUCCUACCUGAAAUUGAAUUGCCAGCACCAUGACAGCUGCCCAGUGAAAUCAUUAUACAUAAAAAAAAAUGGUGAUUGAGGGGAGGAGAAUAUCAUGCUUUUAAAUUGGAUUCAUAUUUUAAAAGUUAUCACAUUUCAUUUUCAGUGCAGAGAUAGUGUCAAGCUCAUAUUUCACAUUAAUCACCGAGUAUCAGGGGCAUUGCUUUGACAUCUGUCAUGCAUAUGUAAUUACUCCUCAGCCUUUUAUCGGAAUCACUGAAACAAGUUCCCCUCAGAAAAUGCUAAAAUCUUGUGUGUGUGUUUGUGUUUGUGUUUGUGUUUGUGUGUGUGUGUGUGUGUGUGUGUGUGUGUGUGUGUGUGUGUGUGUGUGUGUUCAGUGGUAUGUCUUUUAGGCUGAGAUCAUUAUUGAUCAGGUUUUGUGACAUGCUAUUAUGACUUCUAAAUAACAGUUAGAGUGGCAGAAACAAGGGCGAGUGCAGGGCAUAGUCAGAUAAAUUAUGCCUUCCUGUUGCAGUGCCUGCAGUAAAUUAAUGAGGAUUUAUGCUCUCAAAAUACACAGAGUGACCAGAAACCGAAGCAGCUGUUUGCAAUCAAAAGUGGUGUAUGUUAACUUCUGUACUGUACUCCAGUUUAGCAGUUGUGUAUUUGUAUUUGUAUUUUGUUUCAGUAUUUCCAUCAAACUAUACUUUAUUCCUUCACUUCCUUACAUUGUCAAAUUUUUAACCCAAC